rnacentral:rRNA from 1 species
AACGAACGCUGGCGGCAGGCUUAACACAUGCAAGUCGAACGCUCGUAGCAAUACGGGAGUGGCGGACGGGUGAGUAACGCGUGGGAACGUGCCCUGAGGUACGGAAUAACUGCGGGAAACUGCAGCUAAUACCGUAUGAGCCCCGUGAGGGGGAAAGAUUUAUCGCCUUAGGAGCGGCCCGCGUCGGAUUAGCUAGUUGGUGGGGUAACGGCUUACCAAGGCUUCGAUCCGUAGCUGGUCUGAGAGGACGAUCAGCCACACUGGGACUGAGACACGGCCCAGACUCCUACGGGAGGCAGCAGUGGGGAAUCUUGCGCAAUGGGGGCAACCCUGACGCAGCCAUGCCGCGUGAAUGAUGAAGGCCUUAGGGUUGUAAAGUUCUUUUGCCCGUGACGAUGAUGACGGUAACGGGAUAAUAAGCUCCGGCUAACUUCGUG